GCGAUCUUAAUUGGUCCUUCUUGAAACGAGAACCAGAGGUCUCGUUUAAAAGCAAUGCACUUCAAGUGGUGAAAAAUACCAUGACGAUACCUCGGAUUAUCCUCACCCACCCCUCUACCUCAGACGAUGAUGUAGAUCCCUUGACACAGGACCCUGACAGUGAGGCAUCAGAGGACUUUGAAGAUCCUGACAGCCACAUCCAGUCUGAGUGCUUUAACAGUGCUUUCUAUCCCCCCUGACCACAUGCCUAAAGUUUGCCAUGUUGAAAACAACUGACUUGUUAUACACAAUCCACUGGGCACAGAUGUCAGUUCAACGUGUAGUUUUGAUUUACAUUUGGUUGAGUUGUCAAAUCAACAAAAAACGUCACCAUGUCAUUGGAUUUAGGUUCAAAGUUGGGUGGGGAAAAAAAUGAAAUUCCCUUGCGUUGAUUACUUUUUCCAAUCAGUUUUCCACGUUGAUUAAACGUCAACAUAUACAACAUUUUGGGUUGAAAUGAUGUGGGAACUGUCUUUUGUAUAGAUUGACUUGUUUAAAAAAUGAUAUUCCAGCUAAAGAUUUGUAUACGUGAUUAAGAAACUAGUAAAAAUAGCUUUUGUCCUUGCACUGCUAUUUUGGGAUGAUUUACACCACUGUUUUGUUGAAUUAAUGUUGAUGGCUGCUACAGUAAAUGGUAAGACCAUUGCAAGAAUUACCUCAUUGAACAAUGGGAGUCUUUGUUUUGGCACAACAAUAGACUUGUUUUGCAUUGCGUCAGCCACGUGGGAGACCAACCACAAUGAAUCAAGACAAAAAGAGUAUUGUUAUGCUCCAGCUUCUCUGUCUCUGAAAGGGAUAUUCACAUAACAAAGGAUAGUUAUUCAGAGGAAAAAUAUCUGUACGACACUUAAAAUCUGUUGUGCACUUUCAAUUUAGAAGUUUGUGUUCAGUUGGGCAAAGUGUUAUUCUUCUAGCUACCUCUACCAAUGAGCCACAUGUUUUGGCAAAUGGUAUGCCCCCUAGCCAUGAGAGAGAGAUGUCCUUUUACUCUCCCCAAUAGGAGCUUAGAUAAAAUGUCACAUGCCUGGAGUGACUAUACAGUGGGUGUGACAGUCCCUGCCGAGGCUCAGGAGACAGUUUGAACCCUGGCCCCCUUCUCCUAACACCUGCAACCCAAUGCUGUCUUUUCACCUGCUGGAAAUAUUUCUAAUGUAUGAAAGGCCAGUGAGUCUAGAUGUCAUAACCCAGUAUCUUAAUACUUCUAUACUUGUCUGAGUCACUCGGAAAGGAGUCUUUCAUGUAGUAGUUGUGGUGAUGUCUUAAAAUGUACUUUGAAUUAAGAGAGUGUGAUGUUAAGGAGAGAUAGCAAACCAAUUGAUUUCACACUUCUCAGGUUUGAUGCCUCACCAAUGCCUUUGGUAUUCUCACCUCCAUGUGUACACGAUGGCCACUUCUAAUGUUAUUUCUAGAAAAUUGUUUAUGAAGACUCUCACCUGAGAGAAUGUUCUUGCUUACUCUUCAGUCCAUGCUGAAAAGCACCAAUGUUCCUCAGUUUAGAUCAGGUUAUGAUAUGUCAGUUGUGACAGAAAUUAUUCUAGGCAGCAAAGCAAUAAACCUCAGUCUUCCUUGACAUUAUUCCAUCAAGUCUCUGCUGUCGCUGAAAGGUAGCAUUGGUAUACCAGCAGAGGAGAGGCUUAUUGUGGAAAUAAUGAAAGAUUUAUGUUGUGCCCACAUUUCCUGCAAGACUCUUAGCCAGAGUUUUUAGUUAUGCAUUGCCUCUGAAUAAAGAUACCUUGUUUACUGAUUCCAAUCUGUGUAAAAUCAAAGAAAGAAUUGUACUUAACCGGUUACCUGCUACUGUACUAGAAUGUGGAACACUUUAGACCUCACUUUCCUUGUAUGAUAUUAUUUUAUUUUGAUGUUCAUUCUCACCAUUCUUAUAUUGCCAAAUACUUAAUUUCUCAAUAAAAAGUUCUGAAAGUUU